GUGCACCAGUCGAGAAUCUUCCGCAAUGGGCGAAAGCCUGACGGAGCGACGCCGCGUGACUGAUGAAGUCCUUCGGGACGUAAAGGUCUUUUAGCAGGGAGAAAGUUAUUGAUAGUACCUGCAGAAUAAGAGGUUGCUAAACUCGUGCCAGCAGCAGCGGUAAUACGAGUGCCUCAAGCGUUAUCCGGAAUUAUUGGGCGUAAAGGGUGUGUAGGCGGUCAUGUUAGUCUUCUGUCAAAUUCUUCGACUUAAUCGGGGGUCCGCAGAGGAAACGGCAUGACUUGAGGAUGCGAGAGGUGAAUGGAACUCAUAGUGUAGGGGUGAAAUCCGUUGAUAUUAUGGGGAACACCAAAAGCGAAGGCAAAUUCACUGGCGCACUCCUGACGCUGAAACACGAAAGCGUGGGUA
rnacentral:rRNA from 1 species